UCUCCCCCGCUGCCCCUCAGAUCGCUGUAGUGCCUUGGAAGCGGAGAGAAAGUUACUCAAGACGGCUUUCCAGCCGGUGCCCAGGCGGCCCCAGAACCACCUGGACGCCGCGCUGGUCCUGUCGGCUCUCUCCUCCUCUUAGUUCUUUAAAAAAAAAAAUUUUUUUAAUCGUUGUAAUAAUUGUAAAAAAAUAAUAAUAAUCUCUGUAUAGUUACGACUUGUAAGCAUGUCUGUGUAUGAACACCUAAAAGAGAAAAGUCAACAAAAAAAGAAAUAAAAGAGAAAUAAAACCAGUCCCCCCGGGUCCUCCCCAAGUCGCUUCUGCACCCCACGUGAGCUGAGGUUGUGAGAUUGGUUUGCGAGGCUGAUUUUGGGGGGUGGCGUUUCCGUGAGAAUAAGCGUGUCUGACUUGUUUGUAAAUACAGAAAAUGUACAUAUGUGUGAACCAAAUUGUACAAGAAAGUAUCUAUUUUUGGCUAAAUAAAUGAGCUGUUGCCACUUUGACUAUAA